rnacentral:lncRNA from 1 species
CGAGAAGGUCGGUCCGUCUAGCCCGGGGGCCCCCGAGGCGUGUAAGUCAGAGAGUACGCACCCCGGUUCCUCUGUGCCGCACCGACAGCCUGCAGCCAGCAAGGAGAAGGACAGCCUGGGUGGCGCCGAUCAGAGUACGAGUGCUUGGCAGAGAUCGGCGAAGGCCCCCGACCUGAAGAAUGGCGGCCGCUUCCUGAUUCCGAAGCGCCAGCGAGUACAGACCAGUGAGGAGGACUUGCGGCUCUCCACCGUCCGUGAGGUGGCGGUGCUGAGGCACCUGGAGACCUUAGAGCAACCCUACGUGGUCAGUUGUAGGAAAGACACCUGAUUCAUUGGUUGGCUACUCAGACAAUUCUGCUGUCAGUGAAGGAAUAUCAGGAUCAACAGAAAACUGGUAUGUGUUCCUGUUCAGUGCACUGAGACAUAGGUAAGUGUUACCUAUGUCGCCCCAGACUGUAAGUUUGCUAGAUUAGCAAUAAAAAGGCUUCAAAUUCAAGGAAUAGCUCUGAUGCCAUGGUGAUUGUCUGCCAGAAGAUAAGGUUGUAAUCCAUAAAUGUUUUGAGCACAUUAUUAUUAGAGUAUUUAGUCACAGUUUUAAGGGCAAAGAAAAAUAAGAUUUGUAGUGUUGCGAUUAUUUAAGGAAAUGUUUCUCGUUUUCUCUUUUUAAAGUUCUCAGCAAUGUGUAAGGAAUAUAAAAGAAGAGAAGUGUGACUUUAAGAACAUCAUAUAUUUAUAUUUUAUUGUAAAUUGUAAAGCCAGGAUUUCAGAGGUCUUGAUUCAUGAGAGCCCUCAUUAAUAAAUGUAACCUCCCCUCCCCA